UACGUAGGUGGCGAGCGUUGUCCGGAUUUACUGGGCGUAAAGAGCGCGCAGGCGGCUGGUCAAGUCCGAUGUGAAAGCUCCCGGCUUAACUGGGAAAUUGCAUCGGAAACUGAUCGGCUGGAAGGUGGGAGAGGGUAGCGGAAUUCCCGGUGUAGCGGUGAAAUGCGCAGAUAUCGGGAAGAACACCCGUGGCGAAGGCGGCUCUCUGGAACGCAACUGACGCUGAGACGCGAAAGCGUGGGGAGCAAACAGG
rnacentral:rRNA from 1 species